UUGGGCGUAAGCGCGCGCAGGCGGUUUCUUAAGUCUGAUGUGAAAGCCCACGGCUCAACCGUGGAGGGUCAUUGGAAACUGGGGAACUUGAGUGCAGAAGAGAAAAGCGGAAUUCCACGUGUAGCGGUGAAAUGCGUAGAGAUGUGGAGGAACACCAGUGGCGAAGGCGGCUUUUUGGUCUGUAACUGACGCUGAGGCGCGAAAGCGUGGGGAGCAAACAGGAUUAGAUACCCUGGUAGUCCACGCCGUAAACGAUGAGUGCUAAGUGUUAGAGGGUUUCCGCCCUUUAGUGCUGCAGCUAACGCAUUAAGCACUCCGCCUGGGGAGUACGGUCGCAAGACUGAAACUCAGAGGAAUUGACGGGGGCCCGCACAAGCG
rnacentral:rRNA from 2 species